GACGAACGCUGGCGGCGCGCCUAACACAUGCAAGUCGAACGAGCGAGAGAGAGCUUGCUUUCUUGAGCGAGUGGCGAACGGGUGAGUAACGCGUGAGGAACCUGCCUCAAAGAGGGGGACAACAGUUGGAAACGACUGCUAAUACCGCAUAAGCCCACGGUGCCGCAUGGCACAGAGGGAAAAGGAGCAAUCCGCUUUGAGAUGGCCUCGCGUCCGAUUAGCUAGUUGGUGAGGUAACGGCCCACCAAGGCGACGAUCGGUAGCCGGACAGAGAGGUUGAACGGCCACAUUGGGACUGAGGCACGGCCCAGACUCCUACGGGAGGCAGCAGUGGGGAAUAUUGCACAAUGGGGGAAACCCUGAUGCAGCGACGCCGCGUGGAGGAAGAAGGUCUUCGGAUUGUAAACUCCUGUUGUUGGGGAAGAUAAUGACGGUACCCAACAAGGAAGUGACGGCUAACUACGUG
rnacentral:rRNA from 1 species